CCUAUUCUCAAACUUUAAAUGGGUGGGAACUGCGGCUUGCUUGAAAGUUGAAGCUCGCAGUUUCGGAUCGGAGUGCCAAGUGGGCCAUUUUUGGUAAGCAGAACUGGCGCUGUGGGAUGAACCAAACGCCGAGUUAAGGCGCCCGAAUAGAUGCUCAUACGAUACCAUGAAAGGUGUUGGUUGCUUAAGACAGCAGGACGGUGGCCAUGGAAGUCGGAAUCCGCUAAGGAGUGUGUAACAACUCACCUGCCGAAGCAACUAGCCCUGAAAAUGGAUGGCGCUGAAGCGUCUUGCCUAUACUCGGCCGCCAGGGCAGAAGGUGGGCGCGUUGCGUCUGCCGCGAGGCCCUGGCGAGUAGGAGGGUCGCGGCGGAGAGCGCAGAAGGGUCUGGGUGCGAACCUGCCUGGAGCCUCCGUCGGUGCAGAUCUUGGUGGUAGUAGCAAAUACUCCAGCGAGGCCCUGGAGGACUGAUGUGGAGAAGGGUUCCGUGUGAACAGCCGUUGCACACGGGUCAGUCGAUCCUAAACCCUAGGAGAAAUCCGAUGUCGAUGGUCGCGGGAUGUAUGUUGCGCUGGGUGUUACAGCUCGGCGACAGUGAUGCUCCCCGUCCGUCGGGUGAAAGGGAAUCCGUUUCCUAUUACGGAACCCAGUUGCGGAACCGCACUCACGAUCCUCGUAUUGACACGGUAACGUUAAGGACCCCAGAGACGCCGUCUGGAGCCCCGGGAAGAGUUUUCUUUUCUGCAUAAGCGUUCGGGUUCCAUGGAAUCCUCUCGCAGGGAGAUAUGGAAUGGAGCGCGAAGAGCACCGCAGUUGCUGCGGUGUCCGGGGAUUCCCGUCGGCCCUUGAAAAUCUGGGCGAGGGUCACGUGGAGGCGUCGCACUGGCUCGUACCCAUAUCCGCAGCAGUCUCCAAGGUCAAGAGCCUCUAGUCGAUAGAC
rnacentral:rRNA from 1 species